AUGUGGGCCACCUCGCCUGGUCUCCAGUGGCAUCUUGUUGAAAUGCCUUCGACGUGGGAGUUAUCUCUAGCAUGCCGACUUGGUAGGAGAGAGAGCCAAGGUCUUGGUUUACUCUGCUGGAAAGUGAGGAUGAUCUUCCUCACAGGGUCUUUAUGGGGAUUCAGUGUGAAGAUCCCCCUGGCACUCAGGAAACAGUGCCACCUCUGAGAAGAGACUAAGCAGUCAGACGCGCAGACCCCUUAAACUGGGCAGGGCGCAUGAGGAAUGGGUAUACAUCUUCAGUCCCCAUGUGGGUUGUCGCUCAGAGCAGCUGGGAACAUGCCAUUGGACCCUGGGCUGUCAAUUUGGAGAGGUGAGUGGGAUGAAUUCUCCAGGUUCACCUCCUCUUGUUGUUAGAUAAAAGUGCCAGGACCCAAAGCCCAGAGGGACCCCGUGGGAAGGACCUUCUCCGGGCCAUUCAUAUGUUCAUUCAG
rnacentral:lncRNA from 1 species